rnacentral:tRNA from 1 species
AAACUUUAAGCAUUAUUUUUUGUGUUUGUUUACGAAACAAGAGGAUUUUGGUUUU